GAAUUGCCCUUAGAGUUGAUCCUGGCUCAGGACGAACGCUGGCGGCACGCUUAACACAUGCAAGUCGAACGGAGGAACAUUGAGCUUGCUUAAUGUUCUUAGUGGCGGACGGGUGAGUAACACGUUUAGUAACCUGCCUCUAAGAGUGGGAUAGCUUCUGGAAACGGAUGGUAAUACCGCAUAACAUCAUGGAUUCGCAUGUUUCUAUGAUCAAAGAUUUAUCGCUUAGAGAUGGACUCGCGUCUGAUUAGCUAGUUGGUAAGGUAACGGCUUACCAAGGCGACGAUCAGUAGCCGGACUGAGAGGUUGAUCGGCCACAUUGGGACUGAGACACGGCCCAGACUCCUACGGGAGGCAGCAGUGGGGAAUAUUGCACAAUGGGGGAAACCCUGAUGCAGCGAUGCCGCGUGGAGGAAGAAGGUUUUCGGAUUGUAAACUCCUGUUGAAGAGGACGAUAAUGACGGUACUCUUUUAGAAAGCUCCGGCUAACUACGUGCCAGCAGCCGCGGUAAUACGUAGGGAGCGAGCGUUGUCCGGAAUUACUGGGUGUAAAGGGAGCGUAGGCGGGAUGGCAAGUCAGAUGUGAAAACUACGGGCUCAACCCAUAGACUGCAUUUGAAACUGUUGUUCUUGAGUGAGGUAGAGGUAAGCGGAAUUCCUGGUGUAGCGGUGAAAUGCGUAGAGAUCAGGAGGAACAUCGGUGGCGAAGGCGGCUUACUGGGCCUUUACUGACGCUGAGGCUCGAAAGCGUGGGGAGCAAACAGGAUUAGAUACCCUGGUAGUCCACGCCGUAAACGAUGAUU
rnacentral:rRNA from 1 species